rnacentral:tRNA from 1 species
GCUUUUGGGCCCAUACCCCAACAAUGUCGGCUAAAAUCCCUCCUCUACUA